UACGUAGGUGACAAGCGUUGUCCGGAUUUACUGGGCGUAAAGGGCGCGUAGGCGGCGUGUUAAGUCAGCUGUGAAAUCUCCGAGCUUAACUCGGAACGGUCAGCUGAUACUGAUGUGCUAGAGUGCAGAAGGGGCAAUCGGAAUUCUUGGUGUAGCGGUGAAAUGCGUAGAUAUCAAGAGGAACACCUGAGGUGAAGACGGGUUGCUGGGCUGACACUGACGCUGAGGCGCGAAAGCCAGGGGAGCAAACGGG
rnacentral:rRNA from 1 species